rnacentral:lncRNA from 1 species
ACUCUGUUGCACCGCCCAGUCGCCCGGCUUUCCACUGAGGGACGCCCCCUGCUCUGGACUGCUUAGCCUACUCCAGCUGGCCCCACCUCACCUCAUCGGCCCCGCCUCCUCCGCUCGCCCACUCCGGGCGCCCACUCCUGAGGAGCUAUCCCAGAGUCCGCGCGGCCUCGCCUUCCCGGCCCGCUCACCACCCCGCCUCGUCCCACCUCGCCUCGCCCUCCCCGGGCUCUAGCCACUUGGUGCGGCAGGUGUCCUGCAGGCCGGCUCGAGAUUCCCGAGCUCGCCCUCGUGGUGUUCCAGGAACACGGUACUUUGCGCUAGCCUGGCCUGUCCUGAGAGACUGCGGGAGGCGAAGAGAACGCGCUGUUGCUGUGGGAAGCGCCGGGGACGGGACAGCUACACCGCCAAACACUUCGCUAGGGAAAGGGCUGGCUGGUUUCGUGCGUAAACAACCGAAAAGGGGAAGUGUCUGGGGGAAAGUGUGUGUGUGUGUGUGUGAAUGCGGAGUCUCGCUCGGGCACCAGGCUGGAGUGCAGUGGCACGGUCUCGGCUUACUACAACCUCCGCCUUCCGGAUUCAAGUGAUUCUGCUGCCUCAGCCUCCCGAAUAGCUGGGAUUACAGUGUUUCAGAAUCACCUGGGAUGAUCUGCAUGAAGAUUCCUGGCCUCCACCAAAGACUUACUGAAUCAGAAAGGAGGCAAGAGGAUGAGGAAUGCUUAAGAAUCUGCAUUAACAAACUUUACAAAUGAAUCUUACAACAUACAGAAGCAUGGAAACUACUGCCUCAAGGGAUUAUCUCAACUUGAGUUUAAACAUAGGAAUUGCUGACUACCUUUAAAAUGUAAAAAUAGUAUCUUUAUGGGAGGGAUGUUGUUUGGGGGCAGCUACUAAAUAGUGAAAUCAUUCCUUUAAAAUACCCUCUCAAGUCUGCCCCAGUUAUCCAUUUUACUGGAUAGUCUUGGUAUCCAGAUGAUUUAGGGAAAAAAAUAGUAGUAGCAAACUCUGAAAACACUCAGUAAAGUUCAUUCUUGGUCUUCUCUUCCUAAAUUUGUUUUCAAUUGUUAGAUUUAAACACUAAACAAGACCAAAAGAGAACUUUAUUUUACAUGUCUUUAUUUUACAUUUAGAACCGUUUUAUGAUUUACUUAAAAAAAAAAUCUUUUAC